rnacentral:rRNA from 1 species
CCUACGGGAGGCAGCAGUCGAGAAUUAUUCACAAUGGGGGAAACCCUGAUGGUGCGACGCCGCGUGGGGGAAUGAAGGUCUUCGGAUUGUAAACCCCUGUCAUGUGGGAGCAAAUUAAAAAGAUAGUACCACAAGAGGAAGAGACGGCUAACUCUGUGCCAGCAGCCGCGGUAAUACAGAGGUCUCAAGCGUUGUUCGGAAUCACUGGGCGUAAGGCGUGCGUAGGCUGUUUCGUAAGUCGGGUGUGAAAGGCGCGGGCUCGACCCGCGGACGGCACAUGAUACUGCGAGACUAGAGUAAUGGAGGGGGAACCGGAAUUCUCGGUGUAGCAGUGAAAUGCGUAGAUAUCGAGAGGAACACUCGUGGCGAAGGCGGGUUCCUGGACAUUAACUGACGCUGAGGCACGAAGGCCAGGGGAGCGAAAGGGAUUAGAUACCCCAGUAGUC